rnacentral:rRNA from 1 species
AUUGAACGCUGGCGGCAGGCUUAACACAUGCAAGUCGAGCGAGCGGCGGACGGGUGAGUAAUGUCUGGGAAACUGCCUGAUGGAGGGGGAUAACUACUGGAAACGGUAGCUAAUACCGCAUACCAUCAGAUGUGCCCAGAUGGGCUUAGCUAGUAGGUGGGGGAAUGGCUCACCUAGGCGACGAUCCCUAGCGGGUCUGAGAGGAUGACCAGCCACACGGGAACUGAUACACGGUCCAGACUCCUACGGGAGGCAGCAGUGGGGAAUAUUGCACAAUGUGCGCAAGCCUGGAGCAGCCAUGCCGCGUGUGUGAAGAAGGGCAUCGGGGUGUAAAGCUCUUUCAGCGAGGAGGCGGUACUCGCAGAAGAAGCACCGGCUAACUCCGUGCCAGCAGCCGCGGUAAUAC